GGGGGUUAAAUUAAUUUUUUAUAAAUAAUAAAAAAAAUUUUAAUAUUAAAAAUAGUAAAUGGGGGUUUAAGUAUUUUUAAUAGAAAAAAUUAAAUUAUUUAUAGUAAAAUAGUAUUGUAAAAGAAUUUAAUAAUAAUAAUAAUUAAUUUUAUUAAAAGUAAUUUUUAUUUAAUGUAUCUUGUGUAUCAGAGUUUAUUAAAAAUAAGAAUUUAUUUAAAUAAAUCUCGAAUUUAAAAGAGUUAAUUAAUUAAUAAAUUUAAUGUUGUAUAAUUAUUUUUAAUAAUUAAUUAGAAAUGAAAUGUUAAUCGUUUUUAAAGAUAUCUAGUUUUUUUAGAAAUAAAUUUAAUUUAAGAUUUAAUUAAUUUUAUAAUUUAUUAAUUUAAUUAUAAAAAAUUAAAAUUUAAUAAUUUAUGGGAUAAGCUUUAAAUUAAAUUUUUAUAAUAAUUAUAAAAAAAAUUAAAAUUUAUAAAAUUUAUAUUGUUUAAUAAUUAUAAUUUUUUAUAAAAAAUUUUAAUUAAAAUAAAAUUUAAUAUUAUAUUUAAAUUUUUAUAAAAAAAUAUUUUUUAAUAAAAAAAAAUUGGUUAUAAUGAUAAAAUUAGUAUAAUAAAAAAAAAAUAAAAUGAAAUUAUUUAAAAUUAAAUUAAAGGAAUUCGGCAAAAAUUUAUAUUCACUUGUUUAUCAAAAACAUGUCUUUUUGAAAAUAAUUUAAAGUCUAAUCUGCCCACUGAUUUAAAAAUUAAAGGGCUGCAGUAUAUUGACUGUACAAAGGUAGCAUAAUCAUUAGUCUUUUAAUUGAAGACUUGUAUGAAAGAUUUGAUGAAAUAUAAACUGUCUCUGGUUUAAAGAUAAAACUUAAUUUUUUAGUUAAAAAGCUAAAAUAAAAUUAAAAGACGAGAAGACCCUAUAGAGUUUUAUAAUUAUUUUAAUUUUAAUAAAAUAUAAAAUUAAUUUUUUAAAAUUAAAUUAAUUAUUGUGUUGGGGUGAUAAAAAAAUUUAAUAAACUUUUUUUUUUUUUUUUACAAAAAUAAAUGAUUAAGUGAUCCAUUAUAGAAUGAUUAUAAGAAAAAAUUACCUUAGGGAUAACAGCGUAAUAUUUUUUUUUAGUACAAAUAAAAAAAAAAGUUUGCGACCUCGAUGUUGGAUUAAGAUAAAAUUUAAAUGCAAAAGUUUAAAGAUUUGAUCUGUUCGAUCAUUAAAAUCUUACAUGAUCUGAGUUCAAACCGGUGUAAGCCAGGUUGGUUUCUAUCUUUAGUUAAAAAUAAUAUUUUAGUACGAAAGGAUCAAAUAUUAAAAAUAAUUUUAUGAUAUUGAAUAUUAUUAAUAAAAUUUA
rnacentral:rRNA from 1 species